AAGGCAUUUAUUCCAAGUUCCUUAAGAAACUCCUUACCAUUUAUCUGGUAAAAUAAAUCUCAUACAGAUUUUAAACUGAAAUAAAAAGGGAUCAAAUGAGAUAAUAUUUAUAGAGCCCUUAGCACAGUCUCUAGCACAUAAUAGUACUUAAUAAAUGCUUGUUCCUCUCUCUUCUCCAUUAAAGGAGGGAAUUCUUUGUGCCAACAAAAUCACAGAGCUGUCCUUUUUCUUGUAAUGAAGCUGAGAUAACAGUCAGGGAGUACAUUGGAAAGGCAGAACAUUGUACUGAAGAUCUGUGGCACUUGGAAAAUGUCUACCUAAGAUUCUCUCAGAGGGAAAAUUAAUUGAAAUACAAAAUGGAAAAGCUAAAGAAAACAAGUGAACUACUGUGGGUCCCUUAGGUUCUUCCAUUUUGGCUGAAGCUGUUUCCGCUGAUGAAUAAGAGCUGCCCGUUUGCUCCAUGCUAUGGCUGCUGCUAACUGCUGUGGAUGUCUUUGCUUAAGGAAUGUCUCAAGAAAAACAAACUGUGCUUGUAAGUUGUGAAUUCCAGAAAACAGAUGAGGCGAAUUCUCUCUCCUCUUCCUUCUCUUCCUUUUCCUUUUCCAAAUAGCAGGGUCAAAUUGGAACCAAAGCUUAUUGUACAAACAGAAGCAAAUGAAAGAAA